rnacentral:rRNA from 1 species
AACGAACGCUGGCGGCAGGCCUAACACAUGCAAGUCGAGCGAAGCCUUCGGGCUUAGCGGCGGACGGGUGAGUAACGCGUGGGAACGUGCCCUUUGGUACGGAAUAGCCCCGGGAAACUGGGAGUAGUACCGUAUGUGGUCGAGAGACGAAAGAUUUAUCGCCAAAGGAUCGGCCCGCGUUGGAUUAGGUAGUUGGUGGGGUAAUGGCCUACCAAGCCGACGAUCCAUAGCUGGUUUGAGAGGAUGAUCAGCCACACUGGGACUGAGACACGGCCCAGACUCCUGCGGGAGGCAGCAGUGGGGAAUCUUAGACAAUGGGGGAAACCCUGAUCUAGCCAUGCCGCGUGAUCGAUGAAGGCCUUAGGGUUGUAAAGAUCUUUCAGUGGGGAAGAUAAUGACUGUACCCACAGAAGAAGCCCCGGCUAACUCCGUGCCAGCAGCCGCCGUAA